rnacentral:tRNA from 1 species
GCCGAUGUAGCUUAGUGGCAAAGCAGCAGUUUUGUAAACUGCAUACUGGUGUUCAAUUCACCACAUCGGCU